UGGGGAAUAUUGCACAAUGGGCGCAAGCCUGAUGCAGCCAUGCCGCGUGUGUGAAGAAGGCCUUCGGGUUGUAAAGCACUUUCAGCGAGGAGGAAGGUGGUGAACUUAAUACGUUCAUCAAUUGACGUUACUCGCAGAAGAAGCACCGGCUAACUCCGUGCCAGCAGCCGCGGUAAUACGGAGGGUGCAAGCGUUAAUCGGAAUUACUGGGCGUAAAGCGCACGCAGGCGGUUUGUUAAGUCAGAUGUGAAAUCCCCGGGCUCAACCUGGGAACUGCAUUUGAAACUGGCAAGCUAGAGUCUCGUAGAGGGGGGCUAGAAUUCCAGGUGUAGCGGUGAAAUGCGUAGAGAUCUGGAGGAAUACCGGUGGCGAAGGCGGCCCCCCUGGACGAAGACUGACGCUCAGGUGCGAAAGCGUGGGGCAGCAAACAGGAUUAGAUACCCUGGUAGUCCACGCUGUAAACGAUGUCGAUUUGGAGGUUGUGCCCUUGAGGCGUGGCUUCCGGAGCUAACGCGUUAAA
rnacentral:rRNA from 1 species